AGAGUUUGAUCCUGGCUCAGGAUGAACGCUGGCGGCGUGCUUAACACAUGCAAGUCGAACGAAGCACUUUAUUUGAUUUCUUCGGAAUGAAGAUUUUGUGACUGAGUGGCGGACGGGUGAGUAACGCGUGGGUAACCUGCCUCAUACAGGGGGAUAACAGUUGGAAACGACUGCUAAUACCGCAUAAGCGCACAGGGUCGCAUGACCUGGUGUGAAAAACUCCGGUGGUAUGAGAUGGACCCGCGUCUGAUUAGCCAGUUGGCAGGGUAACGGCCUACCAAAGCGACGAUCAGUAGCCGACCUGAGAGGGUGACCGGCCACAUUGGGACUGAGACACGGCCCAGACUCCUACGGGAGGCAGCAGUGGGGAAUAUUGCACAAUGGGGGAAACCCUGAUGCAGCGACGCCGCGUGGAGGAAGAAGGUCUUCGGAUUGUAAACUCCUGUUGUUGAGGAAGAUAAUGACGGUACUCAACAAGGAAGUGACGGCUAACUACGUGCCAGCAGCCGCGGUAAAACGUAGGUCACAAGCGUUGUCCGGAAUUACUGGGUGUAAAGGGAGCGCAGGCGGGAAGACAAGUUGGAAGUGAAAUCUAUGGGCUCAACCCAUAAACUGCUUUCAAAACUGUUUUUCUUGAGUAGUGCAGAGGUAGGCGGAAUUCCCGGUGUAGCGGUGGAAUGCGUAGAUAUCGGGAGGAACACCAGUGGCGAAGGCGGCCUACUGGGCACCAACUGACGCUGAGGCUCGAAAGUGUGGGUAGCAAACAGGAUUAGAUACCCUGGUAGUCCACACCGUAAACGAUGAUUACUAGGUGUUGGAGGAUUGACCCCUUCAGUGCCGCAGUUAACACAAUAAGUAAUCCACCUGGGGAGUACGACCGCAAGGUUGAAACUCAAAGGAAUUGACGGGGGCCCGCACAAGCAGUGGAGUAUGUGGUUUAAUUCGACGCAACGCGAAGAACCUUACCAAGUCUUGACAUCCCUUGACGAUGCUGGAAACAGUAUUUCUCUUCGGAGCAAGGAGACAGGUGGUGCAUGGUUGUCGUCAGCUCGUGUCGUGAGAUGUUGGGUUAAGU
rnacentral:rRNA from 1 species